rnacentral:rRNA from 1 species
UACGUAGGUGGCGAGCGUUGUCCGGAUUUACUGGGCGUAAAGGGAGCGUAGGCGGACUUUUAAGUGAGAUGUGAAAUACUCGGGCUCAACUUGAGUGCUGCAUUUCAAACUGGAAGUCUAGAGUGCAGGAGAGGAGAAUGGAAUUCCUAGUGUAGCGGUGAAAUGCGUAGAGAUCAUACAGAACACCGAUUGCGAAGGCAGCUUACCAAACUAUAUCUGACGUUGAGGCACGAAAGCGUGGGGAGCAAACAGG